rnacentral:rRNA from 1 species
GAUUAACGCUAGCGGCAGGCCUAAUACAUGCAAGUCGAGGGGCAGCAGGGUGUAGCAAUACAUCGCUGGCGACCGGCGCACGGGUGCGUAACACGUAUGCAACCUACCUUUAACUGGGGAAUAGCCCUCCGAAAGGAGGAUUAACACCGCAUAACAUCACGAGACGGCAUCGCCUUGUGAUCAAACCUCCGGGGGUUAAAGAUGGGCAUGCGUCCGAUUAGCUAGUUGGCGGGGUAACGGCCCACCAAGGCGACGAUCGGUAGGGGUCUGAGAGGAUGAUCCCCCACACUGGUACUGAGACACGGACCAGACUCCUACGGGAGGCAGCAGUAAGGAAUAUUGGACAAUGGUCGCAAGACUGAUCCAGCCAUGCCGCGUGCAGGAUGAACGAUCUAUGAUCUGUAAACUGCUUUUGUUCGGGAAUAAACCCCUUCACGUGUGGAGGGCUGAAUGUACCGAAAGAAUAAGGGUCGGCUAACUUCGUGCCAGCAGCCG